rnacentral:rRNA from 1 species
UACGGAGGGUGCAAGCGUUAUCCGGAUUCACUGGGUUUAAAGGGUGCGUAGGUGGGUUGGUAAGUCAGUGGUGAAAUCUCCAGGCUUAACUUGGAAACUGCCAUUGAUACUAUCAAUCUUGAAUACCGUGGAGGUCAGCGGAAUAUGUCAUGUAGCGGUGAAAUGCUUAGAUAUGACAUAGAACACCAAUUGCGAAGGCAGCUCACUACACGAAUAUUGACACUGAGGCACGAAAGCGUGGGGAUCAAACAGG